rnacentral:tRNA from 1 species
GCCCAGGCGGUAGAAUACACCAAAGUGCAAAUUUGGAGACGCACCCCUUAAGGGUGCCGGGGCUUCUCCCGUUUUAGACGAGACGGGAGAAGA